rnacentral:rRNA from 1 species
AACUUAAGCAUAUCAAUAAGCGGAGGAAAAGAAACCAACAGGGAUUGCCUCAGUAACGGCGAGUGAAGCGGCAACAGCUCAAAUUUGAAAUCUGGCCGCAAGGUCCGAGUUGUAAUUUGUAGAGGAUGCUUUUGGCGAGGUGCCUUCCGAGUUCCCUGGAACGGGACGCCAUAGAGGGUGAGAGCCCCGUACGGUAGGACCACCAAGCCUCUGUAAAGCUCCUUCGACGAGUCGAGUAGUUUGGGAAUGCUGCUCUAAAUGGGAGGUGUACGUCUUCUAAAGCUAAAUACCGGCCAGAGACCGAUAGCGCACAAGUAGAGUGAUCGAAAGAUGAAAAGCACUUUGAAAAGAGGGUUAAAAAGUACGUGAAAUUGUUGAAAGGGAAGCAUUCAUGACCAGACUUGGGCUUGGUUGAACAUCCGGCGUUCUCGCCGGUGCACUCUGCCAGUCCAGGCCAGCAUCAGUUUGCCCCGGGGGAUAAAGGCGGCGGGAAUGUGGCUCCCUUCGGGGAGUGUUAUAGCCCGUCGUGUAAUGCCCUGGGGCGGACUGAGGAACGCGCUUCGGCACGGAUGCUGGCGUAAUGGUCAUCAAUGACCCGUCUUGAAACACGGACCAAGGAGUCGUCUUCGUAUGCGAGUGUUCGGGUGUCAAACCCCUACGCGUAAUGAAAGUGAACGUAGGUGAGAGCUUCGGCGCAUCACCGACCGAUCCUGAUGUUCUCGGAUGGAUUUGAGUAAGAGCAUACGGGGCCGGACCCGAAAGAAGGUGAACUAUGCCUGUAUAGGGUGAAGCCAGAGGAAACUCUGGUGGAGGCUCGCAGCGGUUCUGACGUGCAAAUCGAUC